UUUAAAAGGUCGUUUGAUUUAUCCAAAUUAAAUCACUAACAAGGAUCUGUUUUUCUAAUCUGGAUAUAUAUUAACGUUGUGGACUGAUUUAUAAUUUUACCAUUGGAAAGUAUUUUAAAUAAACCAGUUUUUGUGGACUCAUAAAAACAAAUUAACGGUAACUAUUGUGGGCUAUAUAAAUAGGAUUUCAUAUAUGGAAAAAAUCACGACUCACGAAAUUCUUCUUGCACUAAUUACUGUUAUUCACGAGUAAGUUGAUUCAAUCAGUGCAAUCUUUGAGCAGUUAAGCAAUUAAAUUUAUAAUAUUCUUUGAGCUGGGAUUUGGUAAGAUUUAAUUAUUUAUAUUUCUGUACUAAUUGAUCAUUGCAUAUAGUUGAGCCUUUAAUUGUUAAAUUGAUUAUUCUUGCAUUGAUCAUAGACCUCUAUAUUUGUAUUUAAUUUUCUAUUUAGACUAAGUGUAGUGUAAAGGUGUUAAUCCUAGUGGAUUAGAGAAAAGGCUUAUAAACAUAUUCAAGGAAGCAAAGGUGCUUGAAGAGUGCAUAGGUGCACAAGGAGCAAGAGUGCUCAAGAGAAAUUAAUUGUUAAUUAAUUUUUGUAAGAAUCUAUUUUGUAAUCGGU
rnacentral:lncRNA from 1 species